rnacentral:rRNA from 1 species
UACAGAGGGUGCGAGCGUUAAUCGGAAUUACUGGGCGUAAAGCGUGCGUAGACGGUUACGUAAGUCGGAUGUGAAAGCCCCGGGCUCAACCUGGGAAUUGCAUUCGAGACUGCGUAGCUAGGAUGCGGAAGAGGGAAGCGGAAUUUCCGGUGUAGCGGUAGAAAUGCGUAGAUAUCGGAAGGAACGACCAGUGGCGAAAGCGGCUCCUGGUCCAGCAUCGACGUCAGGCACGAAAGCGUGGGGAGCAAACAGG